GAGUGGAUGGCUCAGUGGUUAGAGCCUAGGGGCUUGAGAGCGAAAGGUCCCGCGUUCGAAUCUCGCAAUAAGCA
rnacentral:tRNA from 1 species